rnacentral:lncRNA from 1 species
CUAGUGUUGAAGCCAUUAUGUUGGAUGAUAGUACAUCAUUUUUUGGAUAUUCUGUUGAUAAACUUGUAUGUAAAACUAGUCUAUCAUUUUAGGAUAUGUGUAAUGUGAUUAGAGAACCUCACGUGAGUGAUGAAAUUAAGAAUAUUGGUCAAGAAAAUGGGAGUGACCCUUUGAGCUUGUAUUUUAGUGAAAAUCCUAUUGCUUGCUUGG